rnacentral:rRNA from 1 species
UACGUAGGGUGCGAGCGUUGUCCGGAAUUAUUGGGCGUAAAGGGCUCGUAGGCGGUCUGUCACGUCGGAUGUGAAAGCCCGGGGCUUAACCCCGGGUCUGCAUUCGAUACGGGCAGACUAGAGUGUGGUAGGGGAGAUCGGAAUUCCUGGUGUAGCGGUGAAAUGCGCAGAUAUCAGGAGGAACACCGGUGGCGAAGGCGGAUCUCUGGGCCAUUACUGACGCUGAGGAGCGAAAGCGUGGGGAGCGAACAGG